rnacentral:rRNA from 1 species
GAUGAACGCUGGCGGCGUGCCUAAUACAUGCAAGUCGAGCGAACAGACGAGGAGCUUGCUCCUCUGACGUUAGCGGCGGACGGGUGAGUAACACGUGGAUAACCUACCUAUAAGACUGGGAUAACUUCGGGAAACCGGAGCUAAUACCGGAUAAUAUAUUGAACCGCAUGGUUCAAUAGUGAAAGACGGUUUUGCUGUCACUUAUAGAUGGAUCCGCGCCGCAUUAGCUAGUUGGUAAGGUAACGGCUUACCAAGGCAACGAUGCGUAGCCGACCUGAGAGGGUGAUCGGCCACACUGGAACUGAGACACGGUCCAGACUCCUACGGGAGGCAGCAGUAGGGAAUCCUCCGCAAUGGGCGAAAGCCUGACGGAGCAACGCCGCGUGAGUGAUGAAGGUCUUCGGAUCGUAAAACUCUGUUAUUAGGGAAGAACAAAUGUGUAAGUAACUAUGCACGUCUUGACGGUACCUAAUCAGAAAGCCACGGCUAGCUACGUG